AGCCAUACACGCUGCCGUCAGACUGAGGAGGCAGAACGGGAGCAGCAGGCAGGAGAGGCGCGCGCUGCGCUCACCACACACCAACGACAGUCGGCAUUUGCUGAAGGAAUGAGAAAUAAGAAUAAUGGUUGAUUAAUCCGCACGUGGCGUUUAGGACCUCAUUGGAGUGGACACAAAUUCUGGGCACCUCCUGAACUUCCGUAGCGGCCUCCAGAUAUGUAUGCAACCACAAGCAGGAUAACAUUCUGAUUACUAUGGAAACCAUAUGCCUGGUCUGAGGAGGCUUGCCGUCAUCACUUUUGACUUUCUUCUGCUUUGUGAAUGGUAACUGUGUCUAUAGCAUCCACACCACAGCUUUGACAUCACACUGCACCUGAAGAAGGUAGGAGGAGCCACCCUAGAACGCCGCCCUUCCUCAGAACAAGGUGCGUGACGAGACACACCUGUCUCACAGUCCAUAACGAGCUCAUGAAAUAAACGAUGAUUUCAGAUGA